GACCUCGUAGCUCAGUUGGCUAGAGUGUAUGCUGUACUUAAGCCUUCUCCUUGCUGGCGUGGGUUCGAAUCCCACCAAGGCCG
rfam:Schistocephalus solidus strain NST_G2 genome assembly, scaffold: SSLN_scaffold0000319